GAAAUUUUGGCCACGACUGAAAGCAUUUUCUCAGGGAAUGAUUCCCUAUCCUGCUCUCACCAACACUCAGGAGUUCUAGAGGACAGAAGUUCAACACGGGCCUCACUGGCUAAAAUCGAUGUGUGGACAGGGCUGUUUCUCUCUGGAGGUUCCAGGUAAGAAUCUGUGUUCUUACCUUUCCAGCUCCUAGAAACUUCUAGAGGGCAUCUUUCUCCACCUCCAAAGGCAGCAACAUUGCGAUUCUCAAAACCAUUCUUCC
rnacentral:lncRNA from 1 species